rnacentral:rRNA from 1 species
UGCAAGUCGAACGAUGAAGCCCAGCUUGCUGGGUGGAUUAGUGGCGAACGGUUGAGUAACACGUGAGUAACCUGCCCUUAACUCUGGGAUAAGCCUGGGAAACUGGGUCUAAUACCGGAUAGGAGCGUCCACCGCAUGGUGGGUGUUGGAAAGAUUUAUCGGUUUUGGAUGGACUCGCGGCCUAUCAGCUUGUUGGUGAGGUAAUGGCUCACCAAGGCGACGACGGGUAGCCGGCCUGAGAGGGUGACCGGCCACACUGGGACUGAGACACGGCCCAGACUCCUACGGGAGGCAGCAGUGGGGAAUAUUGCACAAUGGGCGCAAGCCUGAUGCAGCGACGCCGCGUGAGGGAUGACGGCCUUCGGGUUGUAAACCUCUUUCAGUAGGGAAGAAGCGAAAGUGACGGUACCUGCAGAA